rnacentral:rRNA from 1 species
CCUACGGGUGGCAGCAGUGGGGAAUAUUGGGCAAUGGGCGCAAGCCUGACCCAGCAACGCCGCGUGAAGGAAGAAUGCUCUCGGGUUGUAAACUUCUUUUAUCAGGGACGAAGCAUGUGACGGUACCUGCUGAAUAAGUCACGGCUAACUACGUGCCAGCAGCCGCGGUAAUACGUAGGUGGCAAGCGUUAUCCGGAUUUACUGGUUGUAAAGGGCGUGUAGGCGGGAGUGCAAGUCAGAUGUGAAAACUAUGGGCUCAACCCAUAGCCUGCAUUUGAGACUGUACGUCUUGAGUGCUGGAGAGGCAGUCGGAAUUCGGGGUGUAGCGGUGAAAUGCGUAGAUAUACGGAGGAACACCGGUGGCGAAGGCAGAUUGCUAAACAGUCACUGACACUGAGGCGCGAAAGCGUGGGGAGCAAACAGGAUUAGAUACCCCAGUAGUC